UCAAAAUAUUCUGAAAAUUUUGAUGAUUAGACGAUCUUAACAGUUUGAGCAUGUAAAACUUGGAGUGCUAACAAUUUAUCCUUUGUAACUGUGAAGUUCAUUGUCAUCAACUGGAUGUUUAUGGUCAUCUUAUUAGCAAGUUUGGUGAUAUGUCCAUCUACACUAUGGGCCCAUGAUUUGGGUAGUCAGCAUUGGCCUGUAAGUAUGUGACAUGUAUGUUUGAUGGUUUGGAGCAUCCUAUUGAGGUGUGGCUCACUGGAUUUCAAAUUUUCCCUAACAAUAAUAUUAGGUCAAGAAGAUGUAUUUGUAAAAGAAAAAGAAGAAGAAGAAGAAGAAAUAUUUGCAACCAAAGUCUAGUUUGCAGCCAAAGUCUAGAUGUUUUUCAAAUUCAAGAAGACCCAUUUUACAUGAUGGCCUGUUUUUAAAAGAGACUAACUGUAUCAAUUGGUUUGGUAAUUACAGGUACAGAUUGUUUGGUGACCUACCAUCUCAAAGAUCAGCCAAAGAUCUAGCAUACUCGAUCGCUCAUUUCUUCUUGAAGAACGACACACUCAACAACUACUACAUGUAUCAUGGAGGAACUAGUUUUGGGAGAUACGCUUCUGAGUUCGUAACAACACGCUACUAUGAUGAAGCUCCACUUGAUGAAUAUGGCAUGCAAAGGGAAACAAAAUGGGGCCACCUCAGGGACUUGCACUCUGCUUUGAGACUCUGUAGAAAGGCUUUGCUUUGGGGUUUUCCCAUUGUCCAGAAAUUGGGGGAGG